UUUGAUCGAUUUCUUCGGAUUGAAAUUUUAGUGACUGAGUGGCGGACGGGUGAGUAACGCGUGGGUAACCUGCCUCACACAGGGGGAUAACAGUUGGAAACGGCUGCUAAUACCGCAUAAGCGCACAGUACCGCAUGGUGCGGGGGUAAAAACUCCGGUGGUAUGAGAUGGACCCGCGUCUGAUUAGCUAGUUGGUGAGGUAACGGCCCACCAAGGCGACGAUCAGUAGCCGACCUGAGAGGGUGACCGGCCACACUGGAACUGAGACACGGUCCAGACUCC
rnacentral:rRNA from 1 species